ACCAGUGUCUCUGACAAUUUUGAAUCUUCAUCUGGAGGUUCUGAACCCACUGAACCCACUGAAGCUAAGCAGGUGUGAGCCUGGUCAGUACCUGGAUGGGAGACCUCCUGGGAAAAACUAAGGUUGCUGCUGGAA
rnacentral:rRNA from 1 species